GAAAAAAAUGCCCGCGAAUUGAUUAACAAUAGCAAAGACGUCUUCACCAUGUAAAGCAACAUGGCCGUCUCUAUACAGGUUCAUGUCACUUACCGAGACGCUCCUGUCGACGUCCAACACAAAUUUAUGGACACGCAUUGAGGUGCAGUGACUUGAGGGGCUGACAAGAUCUUGAAGACCACCUUGCCUUUCCUAAAGGUUGUACAAGUCCUUCUGAGCAAGUUCCAGGGGACAAGGAGGAGACGAGCAGUCUGCAAGAACCUUCAUAAGGGUGCUGCUGAUCUCCUCCCAUGUCAUCCUCUCGAUGGCACCCUGGAAUGUGUGCAUGAGCUGCUCCAUUCUUGAAGCCAACAGAAAUAUUUUGAGUUUGUGCUUUAUUCAUGAACUGGCUAGAGGACUACAGCAUAGUCACAGUUUCCCCUUACAGCUCUCCACAGUCGCACACGGUGUUAUGUCUGGACGGAAGAAGAAGGAAGAAAGUGACAAACAGAGCAUCAGAGAGCUUCAAAACGUUGUUGUCAUGGACAAAUCUGAUGGCGUCACAUGCACAAAAACCAACCUUGCAUCCUCCUCUCUGCAGAUGUCCACCACAGCCGCCAAUACGCUGCACCCAGGCAUCAACCUGUUGUUAGAAAAUCUCCAUCCCAUCAGAACGAUGUGGUCUAUGAGAUCUUGCCAGGCCCUCAAGUCACUGCACCUGCACCAAAACCCUCCAAGGCAAAAGACCUUCAAGAAUGGAGCAGCUCAUGCACACAUUCCAGGGUACCAGCGAGGAUAUGACAUGAAAGGAGAUCAGCAGCACCCUUAUGAAGGUUCUUGCAGACUGUUCGCCUCCGCCUAUUCCUCCUUGUCCCUGGAACCUGCUCAAAUGGACUCGUACAACCUAGAAGCAAAUCAGAACAGAACAUUAUUCUCAUAAUUCAGGGUGCCCUUUGGAGGAGCCAGUGGACUUUGUGGACAGUUGGAGUUGAGGGCUAGGGAGAGGAGGUCAAGGAGAAAUUCAUCAGGGAGAAAGAAAACAGAGCGUUGAGAUGAGGCGUGAAACCAUUAUCCGCAGCCUUAUACUGUACCUUGGCGAGAAGGAAGAGGAACUUUUUGAAGACUGCUUGGAGGACAGCCGGAGUGAUGUCAGUAACCACAUCCUCAAAAUACUCGUCGUCCACGGUGCUGAUGAGGAUCCAGUCGAUGUCUCCAUCCUUACUAGUGGGUUGCCUGUCAUAAAUGUUUUUCAUUUUUUGUCAAAUAAGGUAUCUGUUAAUGACAGUAAAGAUUGUAUUCUUCAACAAGAAUGUUUAGACACCUUAAGCUGUUUAUUUUUAGUUGAUUUAGUUGAUUUUAUUUCAUUAAUGUUUUAAUUGCAUACUUAAAAGUGCACUAGUCAGAGGACUGGUUUAAAUAUUGAAAUUGCACUUUUUCAGUGUGUAGGUUUGUAAGAUUUUAAUUGCAUAUUUGAGAAGUGACUAUGUUACCAGAUCUAUGUUGGAUUUGGUGUAUAAUGUGUAAUACUGUGUAUUUGUUGUUUACCAGUCAUACCAACCUUUGGAUAUUUUCUUUAAAAAUUAUACUAUUACUACUAUUUACUUUGAAUACCUUUUGCUGGAGAUACAUCUUUAAUUUACUGUUAGUACAAAUUCUAAUGCAGUACAAUACAAUGCAGUUUUACUAUUAACGCAGUACUUGUACAGUACAUUCUGUUUUUCCCCUCAUUUAAAUAGGGGUAUACAUAAUCCAUACACCACUGCUCAAAGUUUAAGAGGCGGUUUCUGUCCUGACCCUCUCCCAGAAGUUGUUGUUGAGUAUUAUAUUUCUGCAAUGAAUGUAGAAACUCUGUUUCAGAGGGUUGUAAGAUUGAAUUAAAAAGAAA